UACGUAGGGGGCUAGCGUUGUCCGGAAUCAUUGGGCGUAAAGCGCGCGUAGGCGGCCAGAUAAGUCCGGUGUGAAAGUCACAGGCUCAACCUGUGAAUGCCGCUGGAAACUGUCUGGCUAGAGUCCGGAAGGGGCGAGUGGAAUUCCUGGUGUAGCGGUGAAAUGCGCAGAUAUCAAGAGGAACACCUGAGGUGAAGACGGGUUGCUGGGCUGACACUGACGCUGAGGCGCGAAAGCCAGGGGAGCAAACGGG
rnacentral:rRNA from 1 species